GUGCUCACUUGGGCAGCACAUAUACUAAAAUUGUAAUAAUACAAGAUUAACAUGGCCCCUGAACAAGGAUGGCACACAAAUUCAUGAAGUGUUCUGUAUUUUU
ensembl:snRNA U6 U6 spliceosomal RNA